UACACACUCAAUGACAACUG
rnacentral:misc_RNA from 1 species